UACGUAGGGGGCAAGCGUUGUCCGGAUUUAUUGGGCGUAAAGAGCGUGUAGGCGGUUAUACAGGUCCGCUGUGAAAACUGGAGGCUUAACCUCCAGACGUCGGUGGAAACCGUAUAACUAGAGUCCGGAAGAGGAGAGUGGAAUUCCUGGUGUAGCGGUGAAAUGCGCAGAUAUCAGGAAGAACACCCGUGGCGAAGGCGGCUCUCUGGGACGGUACUGACGCUGAGGUGCGAAAGCGUGGGGAGCGAACAGG
rnacentral:rRNA from 1 species